GAUGAAGAACGGAGCGAAAUGCGAUAAGUAAUGUGAAUUGCAGAAUUCCGUGAAUCAUCGAAUCUUUGAACGCACAUUGCGCCCCCUGGCAUUCCGGGGGGCAUGCCUGUCCGAGCGUCAUUUCUGCCCUCCAGCCCGGCUGGGUGUUGGGCGCUGUCCCCCCGGGGACACGCCCCAAAGGCAGUGGCGGCGCCGCGUCGGGUCCUCGAGCGUAUGGGGCUUUGUCACCCGCUCGGGACGGACUCGUCGGCGCUGGUCUUCCUCCAGGCGACCCUUCGGGGCUCGUCUUCCUUCGGUUGACCUCGGAUCAGGUAGGGUUACCCGCUGAACUUAAGCAUAUCAAUAAGCGGAGGA
rnacentral:misc_RNA from 1 species